GCCAGCAAGGCCUGGGAGGGGAAUCCCGGCCACACGGACUACAGUGUGCCCAAUUCGCGGCCUCUUUCACAUCGACCGAAGGAAACAGCAAAAGGAGCCGUGAUUCUGUUGAUCGAUUACAAUCAGAGCGGUUUGUAGAAGUGACACAGACAGGCGAGGAUGGGCAGAUGGGCGGGGAGAGAGAAAGAGCCCAAGAGGCGGAGCCUCGUGGGCAAGGCAGCGGUGGUGCCCAGAUGUCUGAACAGAUUAAUACAGCCAGGUAUGGGAGCCAGGCUACCAAGCAGGCACAUCCCAGUCAGAGGGAAGAGGACCCUGUUACCUUGCACUAGAAGAUGGAAGCUGAGCCCCAAGGUGUCCUUCUGCCCACCUGACAACCACUUUCCCACCCACCUGCAGAAAUUCCCUUUGAUGAUCAGUGUUAUCAACCUGACAGAGUCACCUCGAUCUUACUCCUCUAUGUGGGCCUGGAGGGAUUGAUUAAGUUAGGUUAAUCGACUUGGAAAAGACCCGCCUUCACUCACUUGAAAUGUGGACCAUUAAGGAGAAGGCUAGAGAAGCAGAAUUCAUCUCUCUCUACUUCCUGAUGCUGAUGCUCUGACCAACUGUCUCGAGCCUCCCGCAGCAUGCAUGGUGCAUUGUACCCUCAAACUGUGAACCCAAAUAAAUGUCUCCUUCCUUAGAUUACCUCGCCAGAUGUGUUGUCACAGCAACAAGACCAAAAACCUGAAACAUUCCCUGACCCCAGUGUUUCAAGCUCAAAUGUACUGUUAUGUCCUCACUGGCACCAAGGCGCUAAUCACUCUGCUGGUGGUAGAGAGCUAUUGGGCAAGGAGGUAUCAGGUACAAUCUAACAUCAGCCUUCACAGGCAACAUCCUGUUAUUUAAUUCCUGAUGCAUGGGGUCAGUCUGUGGACAGUUGAAACCAGAUAACUGAUCAGUAAAUCGAGAGAAAAGGGGGCAGUCAGAAAGGUCAGCAGACUGCUUUCUUCUGCCAUGGGUCCUCAGAGCACGCUCUGUCCGAAGCAACACCAUCGUAGCUUUCCUCCACUGGUCAGCUUAGCUGCUGGAGCCUUCUUUUUCAGCAUUGUCCUCUUCACUUGGCCCCAGGUCACAGCUGUCUACAGAGGUCUCUGGGGACAUGUGAAUGGUGGAAGUAAAGCAGCAGCUUUUAUGUUCGUGAAGCCAAUAUCCACAGUCAUUGUGCAUCCUUCUGGGGGAACCGUGGCUCCUCCCCAUCCUCUUCCUUCUUUUUCCUCCAGCUACGGUGGCCUGGGUGAAAGCCAGCUUUACAGAAAGAUUCUUGCUUUGUUUCAGAGUCAAAGUCCAAAGUGGUGAGAACAGAUAGAGAUUCCCGUUGUCUUUGUGGCUUUUUGUCCAUUUGACCAUGAUUGCUCCCACAUCUUACUGGCUUUUUUUUCCACACUUCUGGUCCUGCUGGUCUACAGCAACUUCAGAACCAUCAUUGGUUACAGAGAGUCCAGCUUUCUGUUGGUUCUUCCCUAGCCCCAAAGGUGGAUACAAGCUCCAAGCUCCAUUAUCAACCUCUUGCUCCAUGGUAGAUACAGUGGGACUGCUUCCCCUAUGAAACUUUAAAUGAUGUGUCAGGGAAAUGUGUCCUCUUUUGCCAGGGCUACUCAUUUACAGUGUUGAGUUACUGAGUUUCAUCAUUUUAUAACAUCUAACAUUAAAGAGGAGGCCACUACUGAGUGAAUACAUUUCCCGAGGCGUUUAUACAAAAUUCUCACUAAUCAGAGGAUUCAAACAACAGCAACGUGUUCUUCCCUCUUUGGUGACUGCAAGUUCUAAACCAGGCAGGUCAUUCGGUGACUCUAGGAGGACUCAUUCUUCUCGUCUAGCUUCUGCUGGCUGGCAGCAUUCCUUGGCUUGUGGCCACAUGACUCUAUGGUCACAUUGCCAUCUCCUUUAACUACCACAUCUCCUUCUGCUGUACUCUAAUAAAGACACUUGCUUUUGGAUUGAAGGGUCAUUGGAUAACCCAAGUUGAUUUCUUCACCUCAAGAUCCUUAGAGCAGCUACCUCUGCAAAGACCCUUUUCCCCACUAUGUUAAUGUCUGCCUUUCCAUGGACACUGGCUUCCAUUUGGGCAGACCAUCCUUCGGCUACCUCAGUUCCUCAUCUAAGCUAACGGCCCUUCACUCAAACUCCUCGGCAACUCUCAGCUAACAUCUAUGAGCUCUGCAAGCCUUGAAAAACUCACUAAGGCUGUUUCUUUCCUUCACUUAUAAAGCUUAUGUUUAUACAUUAAGACUCGAUUGAGUGACCAGUGGGGGGAUAGUCACCCAUGUUUGGUUCAACUCAUGUAAUCAUCUUUUCAAUUAAUAUAACUUUAUUGAAUGAUUAGUAGACAAUGACUCUUAGUUCACCUCGGGAAAAGUGAACACUUUUCCCUGACUUGACCAAUGCUAUUUAUAAAAUGCCACUCAGUGCACUUCCCAGCCUCUCUCCCUCUGGAUGCAUCUUGUGAACAAGCUCUGAGUUGUGAAGUGUCAGUAGAAGUGACAGGUGCCAAUUCUAAUAACAUGACUUUUUAAA